rnacentral:rRNA from 1 species
AGCGAACGCUGGCGGCAGGCCUAACACAUGCAAGUCGAACGGACCCUUCGGGGUUAGUGGCGGACGGGUGAGUAACACGUGGGAACGUGCCUUUAAGUUCGGAAUAGCUCCUGGAAACGGGUGGUAAUGCCGAAUGUGCCCUUCGGGGGAAAGAUUUAUCGCCUUUAGAGCGGCCCGCGUCUGAUUAGCUAGUUGGUGAGGUAAUGGCUCACCAAGGCGAUGAUCAGUAGCUGGUCUGAGAGGAUGACCAGCCACAUUGGGGCUGAGACACGGCCCAAACCCCUACGGGAGGCAGCAGUGGGGAAUCUUGCGCAAUGGGCGAAAGCCUGACGCAGCCAUGCCGCGUGAAUGAUGAAGGUCUUAGGAUUGUAAAAUUCUUUCACCGGGGACGAUAAUGACGGUACCCGGAGAAGAAGCCCCGGCUAACUUCGUGCCAGCAGCCGCCGUAACAC